rnacentral:lncRNA from 1 species
UUAUCUUUUUUUUUGUAACACUUUGGUCCUUAUCUUAUUUAUUUAUAAAAAAUAAAGGAUCAAAGUGUUACAAAUAAAAAAAGAUAAAAGACCAAACUGUUACAAAAAAAGGGACUAAAGUGUUACAGAUAAAAAAAAUAAAGGACUAAAGUGUUACAAAUAAAAGAUAAAGGACCAAAAUGUUACAGAAAAAAGAUAAAGGACCAAAGUGUUAUAAAAAAA